GUGCUUGCUUCAGCAGCACGUAUGCUAAAAUUGGAAAAACGCAGAGAAGAUUAGCAUGGCCUUGCACAAAGAUGACAUGAAAAUCCAUGAAGCGUUCCAGGUUUUU